rnacentral:tRNA from 1 species
GCGUCAGUAGCUAAAUCGGUUAAAGCACCUGCCUCUUAAGCAGGGGAUGUGUGAGUUCGAGUCUCACCUGACGCA